rnacentral:rRNA from 1 species
UACGUAGGGUGCGAGCGUUGUCCGGAAUUAUUGGGCGUAAAGGGCUCGUAGGCGGUCUGUCGCGUCGGGAGUGAAAACUCAGGGCUUAACCCUGAGCCUGCUUCCGAUACGGGCAGACUAGAGGUAUGCAGGGGGAGAACGGAAUUCCUGGUGUAGCGGUGAAAUGCGCAGAUAUCAGGAGGAACACCGGUGGCGAAGGCGGUUCUCUGGGCCGAUACUGACGCUGAGGAGCGAAAGCGUGGGGAGCAAACAGG